UAUCUCUGUAGAGUCUGCAUAUCAAUAAGCGGAGGAAAAGAAACUAACUAGGAUUCCCUCAGUAACGGCGAGUGAAGCGGGAAGAGCUCAAAUUUGAAAUCUUCAAGGUUUUACCUUGACGAAUUGUAGUUUAAAGAAGUGUUUUCUGUUGGUGUUUUGGUAAAAGUUCUUUGGAAUAGGACAUCAUAGAGGGUGAGAAUCCCGUAUUUGACCAUUACUUUCCAGCUUUGUGAUACACUUUCAAAGAGUCGGAUUGUUUGGGAAUGCAGUCCAAAAUGGGUGGUAAAUUUCAUCUAAAGCUAAAUAUUGGCGAAGAGACCGAUAGCGAACAAGUACCGUGAGGGAAAGAUGAAAAGAACUUUGAAAAGAGAGUUAAACAGUACGUGAAAUUGUCAAAAGGGAAGCGUUUGACACCAGUGUUGUUUUCUCGAAAAUCAAUUAAAAAAGGCAGGAUUUUGUGUUGUAUUGACUUUAUCAGCUUUCUGCACUCUUUUCUUGUCUUUUUUAAUGCACUUUUCGUUUAACAAGUCAACAUCAAUUUCUUUUGUUGUAAAAGGGUCAUUGGAAGGUGGCUUUCUUUUCGGAGAAAGUGUUUAUAGCCUUUGGCCUCUGCAAUCGGAGAGAUUGAGGUCUGCAGCGUAGAUCCUUCGGGGUUAGAUACAUUUGUGCUAAGUUAUAGCCUUUCAUAGACAACUUGUUGACUAUGAUCAGUCAUGUAGCUUACUCGCUUAUGCUAUUUUACCUACGCUUAGGAUGUUGACGAUCAGCUGAGCGCG
rnacentral:rRNA from 1 species